AUUGAACGCUGGCGGCAGGCCUAACACAUGCGAGUCGAGCGGAUGAAGGGAGCUUGCUCCUGGAUUCAGCGGCGGACGGGUGAGUAAUGCCUAGGAAUCUGCCUGGCAGUGGGGGAUAACGUCCGGAAACGGGCGCUAAUACCGCAUACGUCCUGAGGGAGAAAGUGGGGGAUCUUCGGACCUCACGCUAUCAGAUGAGCCUAGGUCGGAUUAGCUAGUUGGUGGGGUAAAGGCCUACCAAGGCGACGAUCCGUAACUGGUCUGAGAGGAUGAUCAGUCACACUGGAACUGAGACACGGUCCAGACUCCUACGGGAGGCAGCAGUGGGGAAUAUUGGACAAUGGGCGAAAGCCUGAUCCAGCCAUGCCGCGUGUGUGAAGAAGGUCUUCGGAUUGUAAAGCACUUUAAGUUGGGAGGAAGGGCAGUAAGUUAAUACCUUGCUGUCUUGACGUUACCAACAGAAUAAGCACCGGCUAACUUCGUG
rnacentral:rRNA from 1 species